GACGAACGCUGGCGGCGUGCCUAACACAUGCAAGUCGAGCGGAGAUAUCUAGCAAUACCAGCUUAGUGGCGGACGGGUGAGUAACGCGUGGGCAACCUGCCCUUCAGAGGGGGAUAACACUAAGAAAUUGGUGCUAAUACCGCAUAAGAUGGUAGUAUCGCAUGAUAUAGCCAUCAAAGGAGUAAUCCGCUGAAGGAUGGGCCCGCGUCUGAUUAGGUAGUUGGUGAGGUAACGGCUCACCAAGCCUACGAUCAGUAGCCGAUCUGAGAGGGUGAACGGCCACACUGGAACUGAGACACGGUCCAGACUCAUACGGGAGGCAGCAGUGGGGAAUAUUGCGCAAUGGGGGAAACCCUGACGCAGCAACGCCGCGUGGAGGAAGAAGGCCUUCGGGUUGUAAACUCCUGUCAUUUGGGACGAAAAAAAUGACGGUACCAAAUGAGGAAGCCACGGCUAACUACGUGCCAGCCGCCGCCGUAAAAC
rnacentral:rRNA from 1 species